CCUACGGGAGGCUGCAGUGGGGAAUAUUGCACAAUGGGGGAAACCCUGAUGCAGCGACGCCGCGUGAGUGAAGAAGUAUUUCGGUAUGUAAAGCUCUAUCAGCAGGGAAGAAGAAAGACGGUACCUGACUAAGAAGCACCGGCUAACUACGUGCCAGCAGCCGCGGUAAUACGUAGGGGGCAAGCGUUAUCCGGAUUUACUGGGUGGAAAGGGAGCGUAGACGGCUGUGCAAGUCUGAAGUGAAAGCCCAGGGCUCAACCCUGGGACUGCUUUGGAAACUGUGGAGCUAGAGUGCUGGAGAGGUAAGUGGAAUUCCUAGUGUAGCGGUGAAAUGCGUAGAUAUUAGGAGGAACACCAGUGGCGAAGGCGGCUUACUGGACAGUAACUGACGUUGAGGCUCGAAAGCGUGGGGAGCAAACAGGAUUAGAUACCCUGGUAGUC
rnacentral:rRNA from 1 species